GCUUGAAUAGCUCAGUUGGUAGAGCAAUCGGCUGUUAACGCGAUCGGGAUCGAUCGUCGUAGGUUCGAGUCCUACUUCAAGCGCCA
rnacentral:tRNA from 1 species